AUAGGAUCAUGCUGCUGAGCAGUUCAACUCAUUUUGCCAUGGUAUUUGGAGGCUUGCCUUAAAAGGCUCGAUACCUUGGAUUUGUUUAUAGCAUAGCGGCGAGUUAACUUGUUUCAUUACAUAAGCAAAUGAUUCGAAGUUAAAAUCUUCUCUUCUUUCUGUAGGCUAUACGUGCUAAAAGCAGGUCUGAGUUCUUCAGUUAGGAGGUAGGUAUCAAUAAUUCUUCUUGUUUUUUACUUGAUUGGCUCUUUAUGUAAUAGGAGUCCUCUUCCCCACUUGCUUCACACAAGGUGAUCAUAUGCAGGCUCCAGGCUCUAGUUGGAAAACCAUGCUAUUAAUAUUAAAUCCGAU
rnacentral:lncRNA from 1 species